rnacentral:rRNA from 1 species
GACGAACGCUGGCGGCGUGCCUAAUACAUGCCAGUAGAACGCUGAAGCGAGGAGCUUGCUCUUCUUGGAUGAGUUGCGAACGGGUGAGUAACGCGUAGGUAACCUGCCUUGUAGCGGGGGAUAACUAUUGGAAACGAUAGCUAAUACCGCAUAACAAUGGAUGACACAUGUCAUUUAUUUGAAAGGGGCAAUUGCUCCACUACAAGAUGGACCUGCGUUGUAUUAGCUAGUAGGUGAGGUAAUGGCUCACCUAGGCGACGAUACAUAGCCGACCUGAGAGGGGGAUCGGCCACACGGGGACUGGGACACGGCCCAGACUCCUACGGGAGGCAGCAGUAGGGAAUCUUCGGCAAUGGGGGCAACCCUGACCGAGCAACGCCGCGUGAGUGAAGAAGGUUUUCGGAUCGUAAAGCUCUGUUGUAAGUCAAGAACGGGUGUGAGAGUGGAAAGUUCACACUGUGACGGUAGCUUACCAGAAAGGGACGGCUAACUACGUG